UACGUAGGGGGCAAGCGUUGUCCGGAAUCAUUGGGCGUAAAGAGCGUGUAGGCGGUCCGAUAAGUCCGCUCUGAAAGCCCGGGGCUCAACCCCGGGAGGCGGGCGGAUACUGUCGGGCUAGAGUCCGGAAGAGGCAAGUGGAAUUCCUGGUGUAGCGGUGAAAUGCGCAGAUAUCGAGAGGAACACCUGCGGCGAAGGCGGGUUGCUGGGCUGACACUGACGCUGAUGCGCGAAAGCCAGGGGAGCGAACGGG
rnacentral:rRNA from 1 species